rnacentral:rRNA from 1 species
UACGGGGGGGGCAAGCGUUGUUCGGAAUUACUGGGCGUAAAGGGCGCGUAGGCGGUUCGCUAAGUUGGAUGUGAAAACUCUGGGCUCAACCCAGAGCCUGCAUCCAAAACUGGCGGGCUAGAGUUCUGGAGGGGGUAGCGGAAUUCCUGGUGUAGCGGUGAAAUGCGUAGAUAUCUGGAGGAACACCGGUGGCGAAGGCGGCAUCCUGGACCAAUUCUGACGCUGAGUGAGCGAAAGCCAGGGGAGCAAACGGG